AGAGAUGUUCCUCACUGCUAAUCACUUUACACUGUGCUCCAUAGAGUUUUGAUUCUGUAUUUUCACAGGGACCCAGGACGUAAUGAUCUCAGGACUCCUGUUUUCCAUUUCUCCAUAUAUUGGCAUCCCUUCUGUCAUAUGAUAUGACCUAUUCAGACCUGGAGCCAGCUUGGGCAUGACCAGGUGCACUUCCAGUUCUCUGCCAUGUGAGGACACUGUCUCUUCACUCUGGAGAAUGCAGCAUUCAAUGUUCCCCCUUGGAAGUAGAGACUUGACCCCCACCAGAAGCCUGAAGCUGCUGACAUGUUGAUUUUGGACUUCCCUGUCUCCAGAACUAGAGAAGGUGACCAUUUGCAAGUCAGGAAGAAGGCCUUCACCAGAACCCAACCAUGCUGGCACUCUGAUCUCAGACUCCAGUCUCUGGAAAUGUGAGAAAAUAAAUGUCUGUUAUUUUAGAUGCUUAGUCUAUGG
rnacentral:lncRNA from 13 species